GGUUCUGGGAUGCAGAGCAAACAGGGAGCUAAUGGAAGCACUCAGGAUGAUAGAAUUCUAACUUCAUGAAAACAUGUUUGAUUGUGGGUCCCAGUAAAGAUGUCCCAGUUCUCGGCCAGAAUCUUUUCUGAAGACUGAGCUGGAGGAGGUACCCGUUCUGGAAUGGUCUCAAAUGCAACCUGCAGGUUUGGCCCCCUGGAGGAAGUGAGAAGAAUGGAGAUGAACACGUUUCUUGUGUCAUGUCCUCAUUCUGCCCAAGACACACCUACCCGGACCAUGCCGUCUUGACUCCCGGUGAUGAUGAUCUGGCUUGUGUCCCAUGCUGGGCCCUCCAUCAGGCAGCAGCAGGUUAUGGCUCCUUCUGGGCCCCAGGCUGUGGUGAUGCUGGCCAGGGGCUGUCCAUUGACAUUCCACAGGGACAAGUGUGCUCCCGCACAGGAGACAAUGGUGCCCUGUGCAGUGAGAGCUGGCAUCACUCUAAGCUGGAGUCACUGCCUGCCCAUCAGCCACUUGCUCAGCUACCCAGUUGGUACACCCAAGUACUCUCAAUCUGUCAUGCUCUGAAGACCCCCAAGGUACCCCAAAACUUCUUUCCAGCUGACUUACAGGUCUGCUGUGUUUUCACACAGUUGUAAAUUCUUGGUUCUUUUCAUACUGCAGUCAUGUGCUUAGAUACUUCUUUCCUGGCAGAAGGC
rnacentral:lncRNA from 1 species